GACGAACGCUGGCGGCGUGCCUAAUACAUGCAAGUAGAACGCACAGUUUAUACCGUAGCUUGCUACACCAUAGACUGUGAGUUGCGAACGGGUGAGUAACGCGUAGGUAACCUGCCUGGUAGCGGGGGAUAACUAUUGGAAACGAUAGCUAAUACCGCAUAAUAUUAAUUAUUGCAUGAUAAUUAAUUGAAAGGUGCAAUUUCACCACUACCAGAUGGACCUGCGUUGUAUUAGCUAGUAGGUGAGGUAACGGCUCACCUAGGCGACGAUACAUAGCCGACCUUAGAGAGUGGUCGGCCACACUGGGACUAGGACACGGCCCAGACUCCUACGGGGGGCAGCAGUAGGAAAUCUUCGGCAAUGGUCGAAAGUCUGACCGAGCAACGCCGCGUGAGUGGUGAAUGGUGUCGGAUCGAAAAGCUCUGUUGGAAGAGUAGAACGGGUGUGAGAGUGGAAAGUUCACACUGUGACGGUAUCUUACCAGAAAGGAAGGGCUAACUACGUG
rnacentral:rRNA from 1 species